rnacentral:snRNA from 1 species
GUGCUCACUUCGGCAGCACAUACACUAAAAUUGGAACAAUACAGAGAAGAUUAGCUUGGUCCCUGUGCAAAGAUGACAUGAAAAUUUGUGAAGCAUUCCUAUUUUUC